UGGCCAAGUCACCCCUGCUGUUUCAGCCAACAGACAGUCAACCACCAGAGGCAGAAUCUAACCAAAGAUGUAUGGGUCAGUCCAGUGAAGUCUGGUGUAAAUUGCCAACCCACAGAAUUGUGAGCUAAAGACUUGAGCUAAGCUUUGGGGUGGUUUGUUAUAUAGCAACACACAACUGAUAGAUCCCUUCACAUUUAGGUGGACUCAUGUGACUGACUAGUUUUGGCCAAUGGAAUGUGGAUGAGAGUGAUGUACUCCACCUCCAGGCCUGGCCCCUAAAAUCUUCUGCAAGACCAUCCACUUGCUCUCUCUUGGCCAGGGAGUCAAGAGAAUAGAAGGCUGUAAGGAGGUUCUAGAAGACAAUGGACAAUCCAAAUGGAAGGAGCAUGAGUUGAGUCACUACUUAGAGGACAACUGUCCAGAGAGCCACUCAACCAGAUAUAUCCUUGCUGGACUCAGUGAAUGAACUGUUCAAGUGCUCAGGCUGCCCAAAGAGACAAGGAGUCUCAGCAGAAAGAGGCUGGAGGACCACCGCUGGAUGCCCAGAAUAGACACCUCUACUCCAGUUCCCAGGGUUUGAGCCAAGUUUGAAGCCUCUAUUUAAAUUGUGGUGUGAACAUUUUAGUUUCUGACCCAGUCUGUGUUUGUGAUUUAAAGGAAUUUCUAGAUGUUCUAUUGUAUAAGAGUGAACAGAGAAAGCAAGGACCGGCCAGCCAGGAAAAUCCUCACCUAGGGCAAGAUUAUCCCAUGAAAUCAAGUUUAAAGGGACAGUGAGAGCCAGAAGACAGUUGUAGGGUGAUCACAGUCCACGUGUCUCCAUUCAAGUCACAAGGGGAACCGGGAGGGAAUCUCAUGUCGUGCCUGUGCUUCUUGAACUGCCUUUUAUGAAGUCCAUACUGUUCUCUGUAUUAUAUAAAAAGGGAAACCAAGGAAAGAGACUUGAGUCUGCAUUAGGACUAGAGCUUGGAAAAGAAGGCAGAGGAUAGAUCGCGGUGCUCCUGAGGGACAGGGUCGUGGUUUCAGCCACAGUGGGAAUGAAAGAGUCCCGAGAGGAAGAGGCGUUCAGGCCCCAUGUUUCCACAUGGACAUGCUCCUCCUGCUCGUGGAACAAACCAGGACCUCUCGCAUUCGCUCUCACAGUAGAGAAUUCGAUUACCACCCGUAUCAAAUGUUCCCGGGAGGCACUAGGAGCCAGACAGAAGGCACUGAAGUCGAAUCAGCUGAAGGUAAUGUUUAGAUGGAGCUUUACUUUGGGUGACUGUGCACGGAAAACUUUUAAUGUGGCUACAUAUCAUCAUCGGAGAUUUACUCUAUCCUGUAAGUUUGGCUGGGAAAGCAGGUUGGAAAUACAUAAGCACCAUUAAAUCUAGCCAAGUGGAAAACAUCGCUAAAGGGCAGGUUGACUUCAAAAGUCUCUGCUUAGGAUGGGAAAAUUACCAUGUGCUUGUGGUUUGUUUUCCUUUAAAGGGUGUCCUCCUCCGCUCCUCGCCCGGAGCUAAUACCUGAAACAGUGUCAACCGAACAGCCACAGCUGGGACACGGUGCAACUUCGGUUGGAAGACAGGUCACUGGCAUUGACUGGAGACUUCGUGACAAUGCCUCUUUUCGCUGAUGAGCAGCGUGUGGUCACCCUCCUUCCUGGGGGCUGCCCUUCAGGCUUCCAGGGGGGCAGCAGGCCUGGAGCGGCGCACUGCCCCAGAAUUUUGUGCCUCCUCUCGGAAGCCUCUACUCCGUGAGGUAAGCACCAGAAAUAAAGGCUCAGAUUUGAUUUGGUUCCUGCUCACAAGCCACUCUCAGCUAUACUACACAGCAUCAAAGCAUUCACCCCAGCAAACCUUGUGUGGCACGUGGCGAAACUGGCCACAGAAUUUUACAGCUUCUCUAUCAAGGAGCCGAGGCUGUUUCUCCACCCUUUAAUCCAGGCUGGGCUUUUGAUUUGCUUAGAAUGUGGCAGAAAUGACACCGUUCACAUCCCAAUCCCAGGCCUCAUGAGGACUUGCAGCUCUGUCUCUUGCUGUUCUUGGGAAUUCUGUAACCACCACCUUGUGAAUCAGCCAGGACUAGCCUGCUGGAUGACCAUGUGUGUGGCCCAGUUACCCUGUCCCCCAGCCAACAGCCAGCCAAUCCCGAGUCAUAUGAGCCAAGUCCUCAGCGGGCUGCUCCUCAUAAACACAUGAGUGAACCCAGCCCACAACAGAAGCACCCAGCUGCUGUCAGUCCAAAUUGCCCACCCAUGGGAGCUAUAAAUGGUGGAGUUUUAAGCCACCAAUUUGGGGACUAGUUUUUUAUGUGGCAAAAGUUAAUUGAUGCACCUUGCCACGGCAGAGAGAAACCUGACUGUGCUGGAGUUCUACUGAGGAUGACAUUGUCGAGGAUAAUCAUUUGUUAAUUUAAGUCUUACUUAGGCCCUUGAUUAUGGGCGUUUAUAAGGAAAAACAGAAGCUGUGCUGACAGAGCGCAUGGCUCAGGGUGAAAGAGAAAAUGUUUGAAAUUCAAAUUAAUUCUCUUUUACUGAUGGACAGCAAUGACUUUGUGUGCUUUUAGGAAACUGUUCUUUUUUCAUCAGAGUAGUAGCUGAGAUAACAGAAAAAUCAACAUGGCCUCAAGUGAUGACUUUACGAAUUGUGCACCACUGAGAGACUUUUUGCCUUAAAAUGUGUAGGCUGAAUAUCCUGAUUCUAAUUCUCUCAUCAUAAGAAAACAGCGCCCCCCCCCCCCCCACCCCACCUCCCAGCACUCUCCCAGCAAUGAGAUGGCUGCCCUGUCGGCACAGUGGGUGUUAUUGGCUGACAAACUAGGGGAGAAAUUUUCUGAAAUAGACACUCU
ensembl:lncRNA